GGCAGCAUGGAAAGAAGACAGUGAAUUAGCAGAUGCCUGUGUCACCAAAGGGUAGGCAUUUUCAAAUGUAUAUAUGAAACCCGAGCCGGGAGAGGAAAGGGAAUCGGAGCACAAAAAGAUCAAAAAGGAUGCUGUGAAGGAUGAGUCGAAAGUAACUGCAGCAGAACUGAACAGCCAUCGUCUGUUUGGUGAUGAGAGAGAAAGGGGAAAAGUGAGGGAACAUUUCAGUGGAGUGGCUGAGCUCUGACUUUAUCUGUUUGUAAGCCCAGGGAGAGAAGGCAGCCCCAGUGCUUAGUGCUGGGAUGUGAUGUACGGCGUGCUGUGCUAAGACGCUGCGGAGGUUUCUUUACACUGAACAGUAAGGGGGUGGCUUUGAGCUCUGCUUCUUGUCAGCUGUGAACACUGUGAACGAUCCUGGUUUAACUCCGCUUUCCUCCUCGCCGUGCUGUCCUUACCAGACUGUCAUCCUUAAAAAGAAAAAAAAAAACUCAAAAGCGUGACAACGUGUCAGUGCUGUACGAAUGCAAGGAAACGAACACGGGAUGAAGGAAGAGCAGAAUGGAUGCAUCACAGGCAUGCUGCAGCCACCCAUCGCCCAGCAAAACUGGUUUUGUCUGACAAAAAACCAGAACCACUGCCAGGACAUUUCGCUUCGGUUUAGGUUUAUUUGCUAGAAUUGUUUGUGGUUAGGAACGAGAGCAAGGUUCACUUGUAAUAAUAACGUAACCAUGGCAAUAUGUAACACAAGCUGAUGUCAGUCUGAUUCGCUGAUAAGAUUUAUGUCCUAAUAUAUUAUCCAAUGCAAUUAAGAAAUGAUUAGAAAAUUAACAUUAGAAUAGAUUAAAAUAAAGUAUUAGAGGUCUCGUGGCAGCUGUGGGUCUGAAGCACGGUCCCCAAGUGGUUGUUUCUGGAUAAUGUAUCACCCUGCCCCAGACGUGCUGCGUUACAGCAAGGAAAGCAAUUGCCUUCAUUUUACAAACAGGGAAUUGUAACGUUCCUCUUAAUUUCUGCAAUUUCCUGCACUCGUUUCAGCGUGGCCAGACAGAAAUUAACCCAG
ensembl:lncRNA